ACACGACUACAUUAGAUACCCGUGUAGUCCCAGCCCUAAACGAUGCGCGUUAGGUGUAUCGGUGACCACGAGUCACCGAGGUGCCGAAGGGAAACCGUGAAACGUGCCGCCUGGGAAGUACGGUCGCAAGGCUGAAACUUAAAGGAAUUGGCGGGGGAGCACAACAACGGGUGGAGCUUGCGGUUUAAUUGGAUUCAACGCCGGAAAUCUUACCGGGACCGACGGCAACAUGAAGGCCAAGCUGAAGACUUUGCCGGAUUAGCUG
rnacentral:rRNA from 1 species